rnacentral:rRNA from 1 species
AUGAACGCUGGCGGCGUGCCUAAUACAUGCAAGUCGAGCGAGCAGACGAGGAGCUUGCUCCUCUGACGUUAGCGGCGGACGGGUGAGUAACACGUGGAUAACCUACCUAUAAGACUGGGAUAACUUCGGGAAACCGGAGCUAAUACCGGAUAAUAUAUUGAACCGCAUGGUUCAAUAGUGAAAGACGGUUUUGCUGUCACUUAUAGAUGGAUCCGCGCCGCAUUAGCUAGUUGGUAAGGUAACGGCUUACCAAGGCAACGAUGCGUAGCCGACCUGAGAGGGUGAUCGGCCACACUGGAACUGAGACACGGUCCAGACUCCUACGGGAGGCAGCAGUAGGGAAUCUUCCGCAAUGGGCGAAAGCCUGACGGAGCAACGCCGCGUGAGUGAUGAAGGUCUUCGGAUCGUAAAACUCUGUUAUUAGGGAAGAACAAAUGUGUAAGUAACUAUGCACGUCUUGACGGUACCUAAUCAGAAAGCCACGGCUAACUACGU